AAGGGUGGAUGGGGUGGGGGCAGAGCGGCAGCUGGCGCGGAUAAGGCUGCACGUGGCGGGGCUACGCUCCGGCCGAUAACCCCACAGGCGGCCCAGCCUCCUUCCGUCUGGGCACAUUUUUCAUCCCUCGGACACCCGCCCCCAGGACACCUGGGGCCCCUCCUCGGAGGAAGCCGACUCCGUCUCCCCGCUCCCGUCUGUGGGUCUGCCCGUCUCACAGAGGCAACAGGGAGCCAAUGAAGACUUUUAACUGGAGGGAAGCAGGAAAGACAUUGUCAAAUCUGUUUUAUGAAUAUCGUGUUCAUGGUAAAGUUUUGUGGGGAGUAUUUUGGUCAGGAGGAAUCUCAGCACACCAAAUGUUAAAUUGGCAAUACUAUAAGAAGGGUUGGAGAGCUGUAUACAGAGAGUGUCUCUUCAGGAACACCCAUGCAUAUUGAGCUUUUUGUGAAUUCAAGAUCUGACAUGUUUUGAGGUUAGUACACAUGCAUAAUAGACAAGCUUUGUUUGCUUUUGUGAAUAUUACUGUGUGGGAUAAGUAAAUUUUAUAUUAAAGAAGAUAAUUGGCAGAAGCUAGGUGGCGCAGUGGAUAGAGCACUGGCCCU